GCGAACGCUGGCGGCAGGCUUAACACAUGCAAGUCGAGCGCCCCGCAAGGGGAGCGGCAGACGGGAGAGUAACACGUGGGAACGUCCCCUUCGGUUCGGAACAACACAGGGAAACUUGUGCUAAUACCGGAUACGUCCGUAAGGAGAAAGAUUCAUCGCCGAAGGAUCGGCCCGCGUCUGAUUAGCUAGUUGGUGGGGUAAUGGCCCACCAAGGCGACGAUCAGUAGCUGGUCUGAGAGGAUGAUCAGCCUCACUGGGACUGAGACACGGCCCAGACUCCUACGGGAGGCAGCAGUGGGGAAUAUUGGACAAUGGGCGCAAGCCUGAUCCAGCCAUGCCGCGUGAGUGAUGAAGGCCUUAGGGUUGUAAAGCUCUUUCGUCAGGGAAGAUAAUGACGGUACCUGAAGAAGAAGCCCCGGCUAACUUCGU
rnacentral:rRNA from 1 species